GAUGAUCAGGUAGAUAGGUCAGGAGUGGAAGUACAGUGAUGUAUGGAGCGGACUGAUACUAAUCGAUCGAGGACUUAACCAAAA
rnacentral:rRNA from 1 species